AACGAACGCUGGCGGCAUGCCUAACACAUGCAAGUCGAACGAGUGCCUUCGGGUGCUAGUGGCGCACGGGUGCGUAACGCGUGGGAAUCUGCCCUUAGGUUCGGAAUAACAGCUGGAAACGGCUGCUAAUACCGGAUGAUAUCGCGAGAUCAAAGAUUUAUCGCCUGAGGAUGAGCCCGCGUUGGAUUAGGUAGUGGGUGGAGUAAAGGCCUACCAAGCCGACGAUCCAUAGCUGGUCUGAGAGGAUGAUCAGCCACACUGGGACUGAGACACGGCCCAGACUCCUACGGGAGGCAGCAGUGGGGAAUAUUGGACAAUGGGCGCAAGCCUGAUCCAGCAAUGCCGCGUGAGUGAUGAAGGCCCUAGGGUUGUAAAGCUCUUUUACCCGGGAAGAUAAUGACUGUACCGGGAGAAUAAGCCCCGGCUAACUCCGUGCCAGCCGCCGCCGUAA
rnacentral:rRNA from 1 species